AUCCAUCUAACGAGUCCCAAAUAGGACGAAAUGCGUAUCCUGGAU
rnacentral:hammerhead_ribozyme from 1 species